UAAACGCUGGCGGCGUGCGUAAAACAUGUAAGUCGAACGGCCCGACGCAAGUCGGGCAGUGGCGGCCGGCUGAGUAACGCGUAGGUGACUUGCCCUGAAGUGGGGAAUAACGAUUCGAAAGAAUCGCUAAUACCGCAUGUGGUUGUGCGUAUGGACGCGUGCAACUAAAGCUCGCAAGGGCGCUUCUGGAGAGGCCUGCGUCCGAUUAGCUAGUUGGUGGGGUAACGGCCUACCAAGGCUCCGAUCGGUAGCUGAUCUGAGAGGAUGAUCAGCCAGACUGGGACUGAGACACGGCCCAGACUCCUACGGGAGGCAGCAGUUAGGAAUUUUGCACAAUGGGCGAAAGCCUGAUGCAGCAACGCCGCGUGGACGAUGAAGGCCUUCGGGUCGUAAAGUCCUUUUCAGAGGGAAGACACAGACGGUACCUCUGGAAUAAGCCUCGGCUAACUACGU
rnacentral:rRNA from 1 species